UGGGCCUACGGGGGGCAGCAGUAGGGAAUCUUCCACAAUGGACGAAAGUCUGAUGGAGCAACGCCGCGUGAGUGAAGAAGGGUUUCGGCUCGUAAAGCUCUGUCGGGAGUGGAGAAAGAUAGAGGUAGUAACUGGCCUUUAUUUGACGGUAAUUACUUAGAAAGUCACGGCUAAAUACGUGCCAGGAGCCGCGGUAAUACGUAGGGGGCAAGCGGUGUCCGGAUUUAUUGGGCGUAAAGCGGGUGCAGGCGG
rnacentral:rRNA from 1 species